GACUUAUAAGUGCAUUACCGCCACCUAUCUCUCAAAUGCACCAUUGACACUCGUAAUUGAGAUUGUAGCUAGAGUGUCAAUGGUGCCAGUGCGUGUCAAAAGAGCUG